GUGCCCUUAGUGUACGGUAACACAUGUCUUACAUCUGCUUGGCGACACAGCAGAAUUCGAGGCAAACCCGGGGUUCGAUUCCCCGAGGGUGCA